rnacentral:rRNA from 1 species
GACGAACGCUGGCGGCGUGCUUAACACAUGCAAGUCGAACGGAAAGGCCCUGCUUUUGUGGGGUGCUCGAGUGGCGAACGGGUGAGCAACACGUGAGUAACCUGCCCUUGACUUUGGGAUAACUUCAGGAAACUGGGGCUAAUACCGGAUAGGAGCUCCUGCUGCAUGGUGGGGGUUGGAAAGUUUCGGCGGUUGGGGAUGGACUCGCGGCUUAUCAGCUUGUUGGUGGGGUAGUGGCUUACCCAGGCUUUGACGGGUAGCCGGCCUGAGAGGGUGACCGGCCACAUUGGGACUGAGAUACGGACCAGACUCCUACGGGAGGCAGCAGUGGGGAAUAUUGCACAAUGGGCGGAAGCCUGAUGCAGCAACGCCGCGUGCGGGAUGACGGCCUUCGGGUUGUAAACCGCUUUAGCCUGUGACGAAGCGUGAGUGACGGUAAUGGGUAAAGAAGCACCGGCUAACUACGUG